UAAAAUCUGACCUGGGGUCAUGAUGCUGA
rnacentral:piRNA from 1 species